GAUUCCUUAGCUCAGCUGGGAGAGCGCUACCUUGACAGGGUAGAGGUCGCUGGUUCGAACCCAGUAGGAAUCA
rfam:[Bacillus] aminovorans strain DSM 1314 DSM1314_contig_1, whole genome shotgun sequence.